GAUGCGCUCGCCUAGCUGCUGCCUGCCCAGCUAGCCAUUACCUUUGUAGAAAUAUGGCUACUGCAGAUGAAGAUAGCGUCGUGCAACCAUAUCGUUUUGAACCAGAGUCAGACCCUGAACAAGAAAAGGCUCCCGAACAAGUUCGAGAAGUUAGGGCUCAACAGGACGUUUCUGAAUGGUAAGUUACCUUUGUCACUUCUACAUUUUUUUUUGUUUGUACAUUGGCUAAGGUCUCACAGUCUUGUUAGCGGUUUUGAGAGCAUAGUGGUGCUAGAGAUUCAAGAUACGUGAAUAAUUUGUGCAUGUAUGAGUAUGUAGCAAAUACAGUGUGUUUAUGUAAGUUACUGUUUGUGAAAGUGUUUGUGUAAAUGCAAGUAACGGGAACGCCAUAAAGAUAUAAAUGCUACAUGAGUAAAUUUCCAUCUGUAAACUAAAGUGUUAUCUUACAACAGUAAUUGACCAAGCAGGGGUGGGGGUAACGUUUUUACCUCCAUUAAUUAGCGUUUAAACCUUGUUUACUUAUUAAAUCGUUGUAUUUGAUGACUUAUGACUUAUUUGAUGACUUAUGUCUGUAAUAUGAACACAACUUUCAAAUAAACUUUACCUGCAAAGUUGUCACUUUUUAAAACUCUGUUUAUACAGGUGUAUUUGUGGCAAGUGUGAUCAAAUGCCUACGGAGCCUGAGCAUGUAUGCUGCAGGGAGAUACCACAGACGUUACAGGUAUUUGGCGUACAGAAGCUUUGUUGGCUGGUGUUGGGGCUAUCUGGGCCGGAGAAUCAGGGUCGUCCUGCCGUCCUGAGUUGUGCUCCAGAUACGAAGAGUGUUCCCUGAUGCUCAAGGAAGGUAUACGGGGUUCAGACCUGCCCUCGAUUGAACCUUGACACAUAGCUGGCUACAACUUCCCGCUUGUCAGGUUUCUCAAACUGGGCAGAGAGAUCCGCGGGUAUUGGGAUCUUCAGCACCUCAUUCACAUAUGGGGCCGGGUCCUGAAAAACCUUGUGAAAGAUGAGGUCCAACAGGUUAUCCACGUACUCUGUAAUACAAAAAAAAAAUCCAAAACUUUUACAUUGUUUUUAUUUAUUGUUUAUAUUGUAUUUAUUAUUUUAUUUUUAUAAUUAUUUUGCAAUUAUAUUAUUCUAUUUAUUAUGAAGACCAUUUAAAGACAGCAGUUAAUGUAUAUGUUAUUUAAGUUUCACAUACUGUUUGUACAUUGUUUGACUUGGUGGAAUUUCAAAUAAAGCCUGUGACUCACGGAA